rnacentral:tmRNA from 1 species
GGGGGUGACAUGCUUUGAUGGAGAAUCAACUAAAAUAUGCAAGCCAAGGUGCCAACUCCUUGAAAAACUGCUGGCAAAAAGAAUAAGUGCCAACUUGUUCAAACAACCCGCAUUAGCUUACGCAUAACGCGAUAGCUAAUGCCAUCUGGCCUGCUAAUUCUCGCUAGGCAGAACCCAGGUGUCAUUUUCAGCGAGAUAGACUGCCGUUUUGGAGCCUAAAAUGGCUUUCAAAAAAAGAUAGGUUCGGGGUGCAGAAGCUUUGCCCGGUUUAUGUUCUGCAUCUUCAAAAAAACCGGCCUACGCUUGUAGAAUUAUUUUGGAGAAAUCUCCAGACGGGAGUUCGCCCUCCCCACCUCCACCG